AACAGGAUUAGAUACCCUGGUAGUCCACGCCGUAAACGAUGUCGACUUGGAGGUUGUGCCCUUGAGGCGUGGCUUCCGGAGCUAACGCGUUAAGUCGACCGCCUGGGGAGUACGGCCGCAAGGUUAAAACUCAAAUGAAUUGACGGGGGCCCGCACAAGCGGUGGAGCAUGUGGUUUAAUUCGAUGCAACGCGAAGAACCUUACCUGGUCUUGACAUCCACAGAACUUUCCAGAGAUGGAUUGGUGCCUUCGGGAACUGUGAGACAGGUGCUGCAUGGCUGUCGUCAGCUCGUGUUGUGAAAUGUUGGGUUAAGUCCCGCAACGAGCGCAACCCUUAUCCUUUGUUGCCAGCGGUCCGGCCGGGAACUCAAAGGAGACUGCCAGUGAUAAACUGGAGGAAGGUGGGGAUGACGUCAAGUCAUCAUGGCCCUUACGACCAGGGCUACACACGUGCUACAAUGGCGCACACAAAGGGAGGCGACCUCGCGAGAGCAAGCGGACCUCAUAAAGUAUGUCGUAGUCCGGAUUGGAGUCUGCAACUCGACUCCAUGAAGUCGGAAUCGCUAGUAAUCGUGGAUCGGAAUGCCACGGUGAAUACGUUCCCGGGCCUUGUACACACCGCCCGUCACACCAUGGGAGUGGGUUGCAAAAGAAGUAGGUAGCUUAACCUUCGGGAGGGCGCUUACCACUUUGUGAUUCAUGACUGGGGUGAAGUCGUAACAAGGUAACC
rnacentral:rRNA from 1 species